UGGUUUUGUUUUUUAUUGUUAAUUGUGCAGCGAAAUUGUGAUAGUAAAUUAAAUAUAAAGUUGUUUAUAGCCUACAGAACUGAAUUAUCCCAUAGUAAUUAUCAGUUUGUGUCAAUUUGUUUGUGUGUAAAAAAGAAAAAACACUUUUCCUUGUGUUUGACCGACUUGUAGCAAGGGCUUUCUUGAGAAGCCUGUAAAUUGCGGGAAUAGGACAGACAGGGAUAAAAUCCUCACUUUUUACUGUUCCCAAGGCUAUACAUUUCCCCCAUGCAAUACAUUUAAAUGAAUUUUAUCCAAACAAAGGCAGGAACAUUGGAUAAAAGCAAUAAAGAGAACAGACCACAAAUUAAAAUAUGACAGUAUGCAGUAAACAUUUAAUAAGUGGAAUAAACACCAGCUAUUUUAAAUGUAGGAAAAGGAGAAACUGCUGGAACCUAAUUUUACACAAAUGUUUUUGACUAUUGAAGAUUUGGAUAAACAACAGAAGUUACUUUGGGCUAUAGCUAUGUGCAGAUUUAUUUCCUUGUGGAUUACUAUGUUUAUUCUUUUUAACUAUACUUCCUAUAUUGUUUGUGAGAUUAAUAUUAUAUUUAAUUGAUUAUAUUAAUAUUUUGUAAUAAUAAUCAAUGCUUUGGUUUAACAAAAUAGACAACUUAGAAUAGAACAA